rfam:Camelus ferus unplaced genomic scaffold scaffold245, whole genome shotgun sequence.
GAGGGUAUAGCUCAGGGGUAGAGCGGGUGCUCAGCAUGCACAAGGUCUUGGGUUCAAUCUCCAGUACCUCCA